rnacentral:rRNA from 1 species
UAGGGAAUCUUCCACAAUGGACGCAAGUCUGAUGGAGCAACGCCGCGUGAGUGAAGAAGGUCUUCGGAUCGUAAAGCUCUGUUGUUGGUGAAGAAGGAUAGAGGCAGUAACUGGUCUUUAUUUGACGGUAAUCAACCAGAAAGUCACGGCUAACUACGUGCCAGCAGCCGCGGUAAUACGUAGGUGGCAAGCGUUGUCCGGAUUUAUUGGGCGUAAAGCGAGCGCAGGCGGAAUGAUAAGUCUGAUGUGAAAGCCCACGGCUCAACCGUGGAACUGCAUCGGAAACUGUCAUUCUUGAGUGCAGAAGAGGAGAGUGGAACUCCAUGUGUAGCGGUGGAAUGCGUAGAUAUAUGGAAGAACACCAGUGGCGAAGGCGGCUCUCUGGUCUGCAACUGACGCUGAGGCUCGAAAGCAUGGGUAGCGAACAGGAUUAGAUGCCCUGGUAGUCCAUGCCGUAAACGAUGAGCGCUAGGUGUUGGGGACUUUCCGGUCCUCAGUGCCGCAGCAAACGCAUUAAGCGCUCCGCCUGGGGAGUACGACCGCAAGGUUGAAAC